rnacentral:rRNA from 1 species
GAUGAACGCUGGCGGCGUGCCUAAUACAUGCAAGUCGAGCGCACAGACGAGGGCCCUUGUUCUCUUCACCGCGAGUCGCCACGGGGUGAGUCACAUGUGCGAAACCCCCCCUCCACCGGGGGAUCUCCGUCGGACCCGAUGACUAAUACCGCAUCGUUGUUCCAGCCACGUGCCAGGAUUGGGAGAGACGCUUUCUGUCGCUACUGGAGGGAGCCCCCCCGGUGCAUCUGCUAGACGGGAGGGUAACGGCCUACCGUGGCACUGAUGCAUAGCCGACCUGAGAGGGUGAUCGGCCACACUGGGACUGAGACACGGCCCAAACUCCGACGGGAGGCAGCAGUAGGGAAUCUUCCGCAAUGGACGGAAGUCUGACGGAGCAACGCCGCGUGUGUGAUGAAGGUCUUCGGAUCGUAAAGCACUGUUAUCAGGGAAGAACAGCCUAUUGAGUAACUGUUCACGGCUUGACGGUAGCUAAUCAGAAAGCCACGGCUAACUACGUG